rnacentral:rRNA from 1 species
UACGUAGGGCGCAAGCGUUGUCCGGAAUUAUUGGGCGUAAAGAGCUCGUAGGCGGUUUGUCGCGUCUGCUGUGAAAACCCGAGGCUCAACCUCGGGCCUGCAGUGGGUACGGGCAGACUAGAGUGCGGUAGGGGAGACUGGAAUUCCUGGUGUAGCGGUGGAAUGCGCAGAUAUCAGGAGGAACACCGAUGGCGAAGGCAGAUCUCUGGGCCGUAACUGACGCUGAGGAGCGAAAGCGUGGGGAGCGAACAGG